GACGAACGCUGGCGGCGUGCCUAAUACAUGCAAGUCGAACGCAGUGGGGACGGGUGAGUAACACGUGGGUAACCUCCCAUCAGAGGGGAGAACACUUGGAAACAGGUGCUAAACCGAUACAGAUGGAUGGACCCGCGGUGCAUUAGCUAGGUGGUGGGGUAACGGCUCCCCAGGGCCACGAUGCAUAGCCGACCUGAGAGGGUGAUCGGCCACACUGGAACUGAGACACGGCCCAUACUCCUCCGGGAGGCAGCAGUGGGGAAUCUUCGACAAUGGUCGAAAGUCUGACCGAGCAACGCCGCGUGAGUGAAGAAGGUUUUCGGAUCGUAAAGCUCUGUUGUUAGAGAAGCGGUAUCUAACCAGAAAGCCACGGCUAACUACGUGCCAGCAGCCGCGGUAAUUC
rnacentral:rRNA from 1 species